rnacentral:rRNA from 1 species
CACUCCUACGGGAGGCAGCAGUGGGGAAUAUUGGACAAUGGGCGCAAGCCUGAUCCAGCCAUGCCGCGUGAGUGAUGAAGGCCCUAGGGUUGUAAAGCUCUUUCACCGGUGAAGAUAAUGACGGUAACCGGAGAAGAAGCCCCGGCUAACUUCGUGCCAGCAGCCGCGGUAAUCCGAAGGGGGCUAGCGUUGUUCGGAUUUACUGGGCGUAAAGCGCACGUAGGCGGACUAUUAAGUCAGGGGUGAAAUCCCGGGGCUCAACCCCGGAACUGCCUUUGAUACUGGUAGUCUUGAGUUCGAGAGAGGUGAGUGGAAUUCCGAGUGUAGAGGUGAAAUUCGUAGAUAUUCGGAGGAACACCAGUGGCGAAGGCGGCUCACUGGCUCGAUACUGACGCUGAGGUGCGAAAGCGUGGGGAGCAAACAGGAUUAGAAACCCUAGUAGUCCCAUGAU